rnacentral:lncRNA from 1 species
AAAAUGUCUUAAUAUAUAUUCUGAAUAAAUUGUAUCAAUUAAGUUAACUCCAUUAUGUAGGGAUGGAAAAUCAAGCAAAAUGCAGUAGAAAAUGUAUAUUUUACAUAAUUUAACAAGAGUUUCCACAUUUGCCUUCAGAGGCUUGAAAUUACUAAACAAAUCAGAGGAAAAAAUGGGAAGAUCUACAUCGCUUAUUUUAGCAGAUCUAGAUUAUAAGGUGCAAAGGUAUGUUCCAGAGAAUAGCAGUCCUGAAGAACACAGAUGGCCCAAAAUCAAUUGCCUUUAGAGAACUCUUCUUAUUUGUGUGUAACUUGUCUAGUUUAAGGUCCUGAUGGAUGACACCAUUCCUAAUGGCACAUCUGUCAUAAUAUAUAAUAAAAAGAAUAUGUGUCAGAUGUCACAAAACAACCCAAUAUUGGAAGAAACACUUGUGGAACAAAAAUCUGGACUGAAGGUAACAAUCAAUGGUGGAACCCUAUGUAGUUUUCAAUGACAUGACAAAUUUACAUAAUUCUCGGAGAAGCAUGUAGCAUAUUUUGUAUCUCUGGAGUUCAACAUGGCAAUAUUUUGUAUCUACAAUACUUUGUUUCAUCAUGUGUUUUAAAGGUCAGGAACUACCCAUGGUUUGCUGGGGUAGUGAAGGCUGUGGUUUUUUCGAAGGUGGUCCAGGAUAUUCCUAUGAACUGAACAUUAAACAGAUUGGAAAUGAGAAAACACUUGCCACUGCUCGCUCCUGGCAUCGUCCACAACCCUUCCUCAGCUGAAAAGAAUGACAUAAACGUUCAAAAAAAUUUGAGCUCUAAACUCAGUGCAUUUAUUGAAAUCAGACCGCCAAACAUAAUAGCAAAUACAAAUAAAAGUCGAUGCGAGCUCCAGACCUACCGUCAAAAAGAUAUCAGAUAGCUAAUGAAAUUAAGGAUCAUUCUUCAACACAGAUCGGAAUUUUUUUAUUAUUGCUCCUUGAAUUCCUAACUCCUAAGCUCGAGAACGCUCAAAUGCUUCUAUAAAAGCUUUAGACCACCAAUAACAUCAUAAACCAUGUAUGUAGGCAUUGCUCGAAAAAAUCAGUAAAAUAAGCAAACAAAAUCUCAGUUAACCACCUUGUACACAAAACAAAGGACAUUUAAAUUCCGAAACCUGAAGAUAUGCUACAGGAGCACAGGUAUGUUUGAUAGAAACUAAUGUACAUGUAUAUGCAUGAUUACUAAAUAUGGCAAGCCUUAGUUUCGUUUGGAGGAAGUGGUUUGCUUAAGGUCAUUCAUCCUUCCCACUUUACUUAUACAAGUGUGACAACAAAACCAUUACAACACAAGGCAACAAUACAUAUUAUGUGGUAGCAGGAAUAGGAACUUGGGUGUAUUUUAGUUCAGAGAUAUAGAAGUGAUAAGUGAUCUAGUUUAGGGCACAUACUCCCUCCGUUUCUUUUUACUCCGCGUAUAAGUUUUGGUCAAAGUCAAACUACACAAAGUUUGACCAAAUUUAUAUUAAAACAUAUAAACAUCUACAAUACUCAAACUAUAUAAUAUGAAAAUACAUUUGAUGGUGAAUCUGAAAAUGUUGAUUUCAUAUUGUGAAUGUUGAUAUAUUUUUAAUAUAAAGCUAGUCAACUAUGCAAAGCUUGACUUUGACCAAACCUUAUAUGCAGACUAAAAAGAAAUGGAGGGAGUACCAACAAGUAGUUACAAGAGAAAACAUUUGUUCACAGUAAGUUAGUAACCCUAAAGGAUCUACCUACUCGGAGAAAUUCAUAAGAACAAAACUGCAUAUACAGUAAAACACAAUGAGCUUUGAAUCAAAGUAUAACUAUUUGAAAAUCUUUGGAGAAGAUCAAACAAUACAUCCUUGCAUCACUACUCGGGGUCACUAACGGAGGCGCCAAUUCCUUCGAGCAGGGGAAAGGGGAAUUGAAGGUGCCAAGCACAAGAACUGGAAGGGGGGGGAUGAAAACCUCAAACCCUACCAUUUGAAGAGCAGAGGAUAUAUAUUUAGGCACUCACAGAAAUAAUCACCGGAGGGCAUGUACAGAUACAAGUAGGUGGUGGCAUCGCCGUCUCAGCUUGGUUGUCCAAGCAACACAGAAUGUCCUGAUCACCACAGUUGCAAUUGAAAGUGUUUGCAACUCUACGAAUUAUAUAUAUAUGUAUAUAUAUAUAUAUAUAUCCAAGGAUUUAAUUAGGAGUUUAUUCUGCACAAUUUCUGAGAACACACACUCACAAGCAAUUCGUUGAGUAGACACCUUAGAAAUAAAAUUACAUUGUGAAGAAUACUAUUUAUCAAACAGGUGAAACAAACUAAUCAGGUGCAUCUUCGUGAGCAAAGAAAAAGGCAGACCAAAAUCUAUAGGAUAUGAGGCAGGCAGGCAGGCAGGCACUUCCAUCCCUAGAGGGGGCGUUGAGGGUCGGCGACCAUCACCUUGACGCUCGGCCCACGGGACUGCCAGGCAGGCAGGCAGGCAGGCAGGCAGGCACUUCCCAUCCCUAGAGGGGGCGUGGAGGGUCGGCGACCAUCACCUUGACGCUCGGCCCACGGGACUGCCAGGCAGGCAGGCAGGCAGGCAGGCAGGACAAACAAAAAUAAUACAUAGGGCACAACAAUGACAAGGCAUUUCUAGAUGCGAAAAUUGUAGUGCAAUUAGAUGAAAAAAUAUGAGCCGGACAUGAACACUCGGUAGGCUAAUUAACCAGAGGAAAGAAACGGCCACGACCUAAACUUUGAAUCUCACUUACGUCUCUAUUCCUCGCCCUUCUGCUACCUCACAUCCCAAUCCUUUUUCCCUUCCCUCUGUAUCUUGCCACACGACCAUGACGGAUUGCGGUUGUUCUUGGCCAAUCUCUACAAAAAUCAAUAAGCAGAGAAGCUGAACCAAUCUCUACAAAAACCAAAAGAAAAAAAUGUGCACACACAAGCACAUAUCAGCCAGUUCUAGCAUGCAUCCAUCCAUCAAAGCAUUAAGCCAUCAGCCAUCCAUUAGAGAAGUGAAAAAAGAAAGGAUUCAAACUUACACAUCAAUCCAUCUAAGCAUUAGGCCAAAGCCAGUGGGAGCGAAGUGCUCUGAUGAAUCCGCUUUGCACAACUCUGAUCCCCUCGCGCAUCUCGGCGGCGACGCAACCCCGGCCCCUUCACUUACCUCUACUGCGGCGCUAACCUGACCGCCUUUCUCUACCUUGUCCCUUCUCACGUCGCCCCCGAUCGACAUCCAGACAAAGGGC